UACGAAGGGGGCUAGCGUUGCUCGGAAUCACUGGGCGUAAAGGGUGCGUAGGCGGGUCUUUAAGUCAGGGGUGAAAUCCUGGAGCUCAACUCCAGAACUGCCUUUGAUACUGAAGAUCUUGAGUUCGGGAGAGGUGAGUGGAACUGCGAGUGUAGAGGUGAAAUUCGCAGAUAUCAGGAAGAACACCCGUGGCUAAGGCGGCUCUCUAGUACGGUACUGACGCUGAGACGCGAAAGCGUGGGGAGCGAACAGG
rnacentral:rRNA from 1 species